CAGCGCCGCGGUAAUACGAAGGGUGCAAGCGUUAAUCGGAAUUACUGGGCGUAAAGCGUGCGUAGGCGGUGAGUUAAGUCUGCUGUGAAAUCCCCGGGCUCAACCUGGGAAUGGCAGUGGAUACUGGCUCGCUAGAGUGUGUCAGAGGAUGGUGGAAUUCCCGGUGUUGCGGUGAAAUGCGUAGAGAUCGGGAGGAACAUCAGUGGCGAAGGCGGCCAUCUGGGACAACACUGACGCUGAGGCACGAAAGCGUGGGGAGCAAACAGGAUUAGAUACCCCUGUAGUCCCUGUCUCUUAUACA
rnacentral:rRNA from 1 species